AGGGUUUAAUUCUCCAGCACUGGAUGAUGCAGGAAUCCAGAGGCCUGGAUGCAAGUCUGAUUUGAACAGGUUCCAAUGAAUCCAAAAUGAUGAAACUGAGACUUGAAAUCUGAGUGUUGAUGGACAAGGGCACAAGUCUAAAAUGACCAGGCAGCCAUCUGCCACAUGCCAUUACUGAGCCAAAGAUCUAUAUCACAAUCACUUCUCCACUCAUGACCAGAACCUGAGUGCCCCU